rnacentral:rRNA from 1 species
AGUAGCAAUACUUAGUGGCAGACGGGUGAGUAACAUGUAGGUAUCUUCCCAUUGGUGAGGAAUAACACGAGGAAACUUGUGCUAAUACCUCAUAAGUCUUUACGGAGAAAGCUUUAUGCGCCGAUGGAUGAGCCUGCACUUGAUUAGUUUGUCGGUAGGGUAAUGGCCUACCAAGACAAUGAUCAAUAGCUGAUUUGAGAGGAUGAUCAGCCACAUUGGGACUGAGACACGGCCCAAACUCCUACGGGAGGCAGCAGUAGGGAAUCUUGCACAAUGGGGGAAACCCUGAUGCAGCGAUGCCGCGUGAGUGAAGAAGGCCUUUGGGUUGUAAAGCUCUUUCGUCGGGGAAGAAAAUGACUGUACCCGAAUAAGAAGGUCCGGCUAACUUCGUGCCAGCAGCCGCGGUAAUACGAAGGGACCUAGCGUAGUUCGGAAUUACUGGGCUUAAAGAGUUCGUAGGCGGUUAAAAAAGUUGGUGGUGAAAUCCCAGAGCUUAACUCUGGAACUGCCAUCAAAACUUUUUAGCUAGAGUAUGAUAGAGGAAAGCAGAAUUUCUAGUGUAGAGGUGAAAUUCGUAGAUAUUAGAAAGAAUACCAAUUGCGAAGGCAGCUUUCUGGAUCAUUACUGACGCUGAGGAACGAAAGCAUGGGUAGCGAAGAGGAUUAGAUACCCUCGUAGUCCAUGCCGUAAACGAUGUGUGUUAGACGUUGGAAAUUUAUUUUCUGUGUCGCAGCGAAAGCAAUAAACACACCGCCUGGGGAGUACGACCGCAAGGUUAAAACUCAAAUGAAUUGACGGGGACCCGCACAAGUAGUGGAGCAUGUGGUUUGAUUCGAAGAUACGCGCAGAACCUUACCAACACUUGACAUGUUCGUCGCGACUUUAAGAGAUUAAAGUUUUCGGUUCGGCCGGACGAAACACAGGUGCUGCAUGGCUGUCGUCAGCUCGUGUCGUGAGAUGUUGGGUUAAGUCCCGCAACGAGCGCAACCCUUACUUUUAGUUGCCAUCAUUUAGUUGGGCACUCU